AACGAACGCUGGCGGCAUGCCUAACACAUGCAAGUCGAACGAGACCUUCGGGUCUAGUGGCGCACGGGUGCGUAACGCGUGGGAACCUGCCCGUAGGCUCGGAAUAACUCCCCGAAAGGGGUGCUAAUACCGGAUAAUGUCUUCGGACCAAAGAUUCAUCGCCCUUGGAUGGGCCCGCGUUGGUUUAGCUAGGUGGUAGGGUAAAAGCCUACCAAGGCGACGAUCCAUAGCUGGUCUGAGAGGAUGGUCAGCCACACUGAGACUGAGACGCGGCCCAGACUCCUACGGGAGGCAGCAGUGGGGGAUAUUGGACAAUGGGCGAAGGGCUGAUGCAGCAAUGCCGCGUGAGUGAUGAAAGCCUUAGAGUUGUAAAGCUCUUUUACCCGGGAUGAUAAUGACGGUACCGAAAGAAUAAGCACCGGCUAACUCCGUG
rnacentral:rRNA from 1 species